rnacentral:rRNA from 1 species
GUGCCAGCAGCCGCGGUAAUACGUAGGGACCAAGCGUUGUUCGGAUUUACUGGGCGUAAAGGGCGCGUAGGCGGCUUGUCAAGUCACUUGUGAAAUCUCUGGGCUUAACCCAGAACGGCCAAGUGAAACUGACAUGCUAGAGUGCAGAAGGGGCAAUCGGAAUUCUUGGUGUAGCGGUGAAAUGCGUAGAUAUCAAGAGGAACACCUGAGGUGAAGACGGGUUGCUGGGCUGACACUGACGCUGAGGCGCGAAAGCCAGGGGAGCAAACGGGAUUAGAAACCCGUGUAGUCC